AGUGAACGCUGGCGGUAGGCCUAACACAUGCAAGUCGAACGGCAGCACAGGAGAGCUUGCUCUCUGGGUGGCGAGUGGCGGACGGGUGAGGAAUACAUCGGAAUCUACCCUUUCGUGGGGGAUAACGUAGGGAAACUUACGCUAAUACCGCAUACGACCUACGGGUGAAAGUGGGGGACCGCAAGGCCUCACGCGAUUAGAUGAGCCGAUGUCCGAUUAGCUAGUUGGCGGGGUAAUGGCCCACCAAGGCGACGAUCGGUAGCUGGUCUGAGAGGAUGAUCAGCCACACUGGAACUGAGACACGGUCCAGACUCCUACGGGAGGCAGCAGUGGGGAAUAUUGGACAAUGGGCGCAAGCCUGAUCCAGCCAUACCGCGUGGGUGAAGAAGGCCUUCGGGUUGUAAAGCCCUUUUGUUGGGAAAGAAAUCCUGUCGAUUAAUACUCGGUGGGGAUGACGGUACCCAAAGAAUAAGCACCGGCUAACUUCGUGCCAGCCGCCGCAGUAA
rnacentral:rRNA from 1 species